CGGGCCUCUUCCCUCUUCUGCCUUGUCCAGCUGAUGGCUAUCUGCAAGAGAUGUUGGCUGCAGCCAGGGCCAAGUCACGGGGCAGGAUGUGCUGCUUCUGCGGAGGUACUGACACGGGAAUAAAUGACACAGUUUUCUGGAACUUCUCCGGGCACUGCAAGGUCUUACUCAGGUAAAGCCCAAGCAGAGAUUAUGC